CAGGGUCACAGGGUCACAGGGUCACAGGGUCACAGGGUCAUCCAUUGGCGUUUUCCCAUUAGCCCUUUUGGCCGUGCCGAGCGGUACUGUUGCAUACGGUGCAGAUUUGCGUUGCCACUGCCAUUUUAAACACGCGUAGCUGUGCUGUGCCGUAACUCGCUCGAGAUGGAUCGUCGAAGAGUUCGGGCCAGAGUGAGCCCGCCCCGAAGUUGGCAGCGGUGACGUCAGCCCCGGUGGCUGUUUGGAGCGAGAAGUUGUGGAGAUAUAGACCUAUUAAAAUACAAUAAACUUGGCGGUCAUACACCUAUCCUUGUCUAUGAGACGCAUCGCCACGAAGAGAAUGGCCAGAGUUCUCAACAGCCUGAUUCUUUAUUAUUGUUCGUUCCUGUAAUUACGCAUGCCUAAUUAAAAAGGGUAAUGAAAGUUUGAUAGAAGUGCGUUCCGCAGAGAUGUUAUGCUGAUGAUAUUCUCUUACAAAACAAAAAAGCUUGCUGAGAAAGGACAGAUCUCUUGGAAAUUGGAAAAUAUUUCACACCAUUAGGUCGAUAUUCAACAUAUUUUUUUCCUUGUGAAAAUAUUUGUGAAACAUUGUCUAAUGUGUAAACAGGACUUAUCCGAACUAAAUCUGGUAUCAACAAGCUUUUGAGAUUAGGAGGCAAAAAAGGGAAGCACGUCAUCUGUUAAAGCUCCACCUUCGGCGGAAUAGCCCGCUUGUAAUGGAAAUGCAAAUCUGCCGAGACGAGUCAAACCCUGCCGAGACGAUGUAGCAUAGUAUAGUUGAAAAAACACACUGAUUUGUGCUUAGCUUAGCUAGCUUCUGGUACAUUUUCUUGAGUCAGUCUGCUUUGCUCCUUUUUCAUUAUACAAAGCACAUGCCCGUGCUUUGUAUAAUGACCGAUGGAAACAAUUAGUUUUGGCCGCUUCCAGGGCUAUCGCGAGUAUGCUGCCACCUAAGGGUAGUGUGUGUGUGUGUGUGUGUGUGUGUGUGUGUGUGUGUGUGUGUGUGUGUGUGUGUGUGUGUGUGUGUGUGUGUGUGUGUGUGUGUGUGUGUGUGUGU